GCAGAUCUUGGUGGUAGUAGCAA
rnacentral:ncRNA from 6 species